AUUGAACGCUGGCGGCAUGCUUUACACAUGCAAGUCGAACGGUAACAGGCCUUCGGGUGCUGACGAGUGGCGAACGGGUGAGUAAUGCAUCGGAACGUGCCCAAUCGUGGGGGAUAACGUAGCGAAAGUUACGCUAAUACCGCAUAAGCCCUGAGGGGGAAAGUGGGGGACCGCAAGGCCUCACGCGAAUGGAGCGGCCGAUGUCAGAUUAGCUAGUUGGUGGGGUAAAGGCCCACCAAGGCGACGAUCUGUAGCGGGUCUGAGAGGAUGAUCCGCCACACUGGGACUGAGACACGGCCCAGACUCCUACGGGAGGCAGCAGUGGGGAAUUUUGGACAAUGGGCGCAAGCCUGAUCCAGCCAUGCCGCGUGCGGGACGAAGGCCUCGGGUUGUAACCGGACUUUCUAGCCGGAAGAAAUACGCCGUUUUAA
rnacentral:rRNA from 1 species